rnacentral:rRNA from 1 species
UACGUAGGGGGCAAGCGUUGUCCGGAUUUAUUGGGCGUAAAGAGCGUGUAGGCGGCUUGGUAGGUCCGCUGUGAAAACUCGAGGCUCAACCUCGAGAUGUCGGCGGAAACCACUUGGCUAGAGUCCGGAAGAGGAGAGUGGAAUUCCCGGUGUAGCGGUGAAAUGCGCAGAUAUCAGGAGGAACACCGGUGGCGAAGGCGGAUCUCUGGGCCGAUACUGACGCUGAGGAGCGAAAGCGUGGGGAGCGAACAGG